rnacentral:rRNA from 1 species
GAGUUUGAUCAUGGCUCAGAUUGAACGCUGGCGGCAUGCCUUACACAUGCAAGUCGAACGGCAGCACGGGUGCUUGCACCUGGUGGCGAGUGGCGAACGGGUGAGUAAUACAUCGGAACAUGUCCUGUAGUGGGGGAUAGCCCGGCGAAAGCCGGAUUAAUACCGCAUACGAUCUACGGAUGAAAGCGGGGGACCUUCGGGCCUCGCGCUAUAGGGUUGGCCGAUGGCUGAUUAGCUAGUUGGUGGGGUAAAGGCCUACCAAGGCGACGAUCAGUAGCUGGUCUGAGAGGACGACCAGCCACACUGGGACUGAGACACGGCCCAGACUCCUACGGGAGGCAGCAGUGGGGAAUUUUGGACAAUGGGCGAAAGCCUGAUCCAGCAAUGCCGCGUGUGUGAAGAAGGCCUUCGGGUUGUAAAGCACUUUUGUCCGGAAAGAAAUCCUUGGCUCUAAUACAGUCGGGGGAUGACGGUACCGGAAGAAUAAGCACCGGCUAACUACGUGCCAGCAGCCGCGGUAAUACGUAGGGUGCGAGCGUUAAUCGGAAUUACUGGGCGUAAAGCGUGCGCAGGCGGUUUGCUAAGACCGAUGUGAAAUCCCCGGGCUCAACCUGGGAACUGCAUUGGUGACUGGCAGGCUAGAGUAUGGCAGAGGGGGGUAGAAUUCCACGUGUAGCAGUGAAAUGCGUAGAGAUGUGGAGGAAUACCGAUGGCGAAGGCAGCCCCCUGGGCCAAUACUGACGCUCAUGCACGAAAGCGUGGGGAGCAAACAGGAUUAGAUACCCUGGUAGUCCACGCCCUAAACGAUGUCAACUAGUUGUUGGGGAUUCAUUUCCUUAGUAACGUAGCUAACGCGUGAAGUUGACCGCCUGGGGAGUACGGUCGCAAGAUUAAAACUCAAAGGAAUUGACGGGGACCCGCACAAGCGGUGGAUGAUGUGGAUUAAUUCGAUGCAACGCGAAAAACCUUACCUACCCUUGACAUGGUCGGAAUCCCGCUGAGAGGUGGGAGUGCUCGAAAGAGAACCGGCGCACAGGUGCUGCAUGGCUGUCGUCAGCUCGUGUCGUGAGAUGUUGGGUUAAGUCCCGCAACGAGCGCAACCCUUGUCCUUAGUUGCUACGCAAGAGCACUCUAAGGAGACUGCCGGUGACAAACCGGAGGAAGGUGGGGAUGACGCCAAGUCCUCAUGGCCCUUAUGGGUAGGGCUUCACACGUCAUACAAUGGUCGGAACAGAGGGUUGCCAACCCGCGAGGGGGAGCUAAUCCCAGAAAACCGAUCGUAGUCCGGAUUGCACUCUGCAACUCGAGUGCAUGAAGCUGGAAUCGCUAGUAAUCGCGGAUCAGCAUGCCGCGGUGAAUACGU